ACGAGGAAGUGGAGCCAUCCUUAAAGGCCCAAAGGCCCAAAGUCGAUCAGAUGGUUGUUUAUCAAAACAUCCUACGGUCCAGAUACUGGAAGGAAGUAUUGUGAGAAGCAUGACAGGACAUGCAGGAAUACAGAAACUUGAACAUCGAUUUUUAAAUAGGCAUUUUACCUGGCCAAGGCUUCAUUAGGAUGCUGUGAAGUUCUGUAAAACUUGUCAUAUCAGUGGUACCAGCAACACACACAUGUACUCCAGGGCAAGAGGGUUUCUCUGCUGCUUCAGAGAAAGAAAGAUGAGUGCCUCAGAGGACACACUGGCUAAUGCCAUUUACAAGUUCGCUGAUGACACCACCAUAGUCGGUCAAAUCUCAGAUGGCGACAAAACAGACUACAGAUGGGAGGUGGAAGACCUGGAAAAAUGGUGCACUGAGAACAACCUAGCUCUCAAAACCAAGGAAUUCGUUAUUGACUUUCAGGGGAUGUUACUCAUGCCCCCCUACACAUUAACAGCACAGAGGUGGAACGAGUGGAGGGUAUCAAGCUCCUGGGUGUGGUCAUCCACAACAAGUUUUCUUGGACUAUUAAUGUGGGUGCACUGGUUACAAAGGCCCAACAACGUCUCUUCUUCCUCAGGCAGCUGAGGAAAUUUGGCAUGACGGCGAAUACCCUUACCAAAUUUUAUUGUGCGCUAUUGAGAGCAUUCUGUCUGGAUGUAUCACUACCUGGUAUGGCAACUGUGCCAUUCAAAGUCUGAGACGAUUGCAGAGAGUGGCAAACUCGGCCCAGACAAUCACAAAGGCCAACUUCCCAUCGAUAGAAUCCAUCGACCAAGCCCGCUGUCAAGGAAAGGCUGCCAGUAUUCUCAAAGAUCUGUCCCACCUUGGCAAUGUUUUUGUACAAUCUGUACCAUCAGUGAGAAGAUACAGAAGCCUGAACACAUGCACCAGCCAGUUUCGAAACAGUUCCUACCCUACUGUUGUUAAAUACUGAAUGGACUCUCAAACUCUGAACAUUCACCUAUACCUGCGUUUUUGUGUGUCUGCUGUUCACCUAUUAUUUACUAAUCUAUGCUAUUUAAUUCUGUGAUGCCUGUAUUGCUCAGAAAUCAAAGCUUUUUGCUGAACC